GUGCCAGCAGCCGCGGUAAUACGUAGGUGGCAAGCGUUAUCCGGAAUUGUUGGGCGUAAAACGCGCGUAGGCGGUUUUUUAAGUCUGAUGUGAAAGCCCACGGCUCAACCGUGGAGGGUCAUUGGAAACUGGAAAACUUGAGUGCAGAAGAGGAAAGUGGAAUUCCAUGUGUAGCGGUGAAAUGCGCAGAGACAUGGAGGAACACCAGUGGCGAAGGCGACUUUCNUGGUCUGUAACUGACGCUGAUGUGCGAAAGCGUGGGGAUCAAACAG
rnacentral:rRNA from 1 species